AGCGGGAUGGACGGUCGCGCACGGUUCGUGUGAGGAAAGUCCGGGCUCCGCAGAGCGGGAUAACGGCUAACGGCCGCCGAGGGUGACCUUAAGGGAAAGUGCAACAGAGAUAUACCGCCCGGCGAUCACCGCCGGGUAAGGGUGGAAAGGCGAGGUAAGAGCUCACCGGCGCAGCGGAGACGUUUGCGCCCUGCAAACCCUAUCCGGAGCAACACCGACCGAAGUGGCCUGCUCGGCCCAUACUUCAACGGGUGGCUGGAGCGGAGGCGCAAGUCUCCGUCGAGACAGAUGACCGUCUUAAAAGACAGAACCCGGCUUACAGUCCGGCUCG
rnacentral:RNase_P_RNA from 1 species